UACAGAGGUCUCAAGCGUUGUUCGGAUUCAUUGGGCGUAAAGGGUGUGUAGGUGGCGCCGUAAGUCGGGUGUGAAAUUUCGGAGCUUAACUCCGAAACUGCAUUCGAUACUGCGGUGCUUGAGGACUGGAGAGGAGACUGGAAUUCAUGGUGUAGCAGUGAAAUGCGUAGAGAUCAUGAGGAACACCGGUGGCGAAGGCGGCAUCCUGGACCAACACUGACGCUGAGGAGCGAAAGCCAGGGGAGCAAACGGG
rnacentral:rRNA from 1 species